UACGUAGGGGGCAAGCGUUGUCCGGAUUUAUUGGGCGUAAAGAGCUCGUAGGCGGUCUGUCGCGUCGGCUGUGAAAACCCGGGGCUCAACCCCGGGCCUGCAGUCGAUACGGGCAGACUAGAGUGUGGUAGGGGAGACUGGAAUUCCUGGUGUAGCGGUGAAAUGCGCAGAUAUCAGGAGGAACACCGGUGGCGAAGGCGGGUCUCUGGGCCGUUACUGACGCUGAGGAGCGAAAGCGUGGGGAGCGAACAGG
rnacentral:rRNA from 1 species